UUGAAGAAAAUAUGGAAUGUGACAUGGGAGAGGACAGCCCUGAGGAUCCUUGUCGUGUGACACAGUUGUGGGAAGAAAAUCUUACAGCUUCUUGGGUAAUAGGAAAAGAGCCCUUCAUCCACCCUUGUCUUCCAGUUCCAGUCCAUUUUGCAUCAAGAAAGGUCCAGUGAAGACUCCUUUUGGGAAAUGUCUAUUCUGAAGCAGGAAAAGAUGUACAGGAUAAAUAAUGUUGGAGGAGAAGGCAAGGACCAGAGGGUGAAGGAAACAUGGAUUUUAAAAAAUUGAGAUGAUUAGAGAACUCAGGGCAAACAGAGAGCUGAGAAGACAGUAAAUUGGUGACCAGUCUGUGACAGCAUUUUGUGAAAGCUGAUAGGAAAAUGUGAUUAUUAUUAGAUUGGUUCUUUAGCCUCAGGUAUUUGUGUCUCUGCUACAUUCAUGUCAUAAACUCUCUUCACAUUAAUAUUCACUAUCACUUUUAUCCUUAGUGAAUGAUGGCUCUUUUGCCUCUGUUCUUACAGUGCUUCCAUGGAUGAAUAAAAAUAUAUAACACUUGCCAAAACCUAGAAAGCACAAUCUAUUUAUUUAUAGGUAAUCAUGUAAAAUGACCUCUUUAUAUGUUUUAAGACUCUGUAAUGUUAAACACCUAGACUGUUGCUUUUCCAUGUAUUAAUAAAUAUUCUUCAUGGUAUAAAAAUGUUCCCACUUUUGUGGUCAAUUUUCAGUUGUGAAAGCAUGAAGUUUUAGAAUACUGAGAGUUUUUCCCCUUUUUCAAAGAAGAGAUAGUUUAAUAAUUAUAAUAGCUAUAGUAUAGUUUAUGUCUUGAUUUCUCUCUUUAUGAUAGUUUUUAUUUUUACUAAUCUUGUGCAGUACAUAGCAAACUAAGAGCUUUUAUGUGUUGUGUAUAAAUAUGGAACAUUAUGGCUAUUUUAAACUUCUAUUACUCUUAAGCUGAUGUAACUAGUUCCUGUUUGGGUCUGAAGGCAGAAUACAAUGCCAGUUUAUUUUAUGAGUUGUAAUUCCAUCUUUGAGGGAAAGAAAGCAGGUAAACAAAAUUGCCAUGAUAACUUUUGGCAAGUGUCAAAGAAUGUGGGACCAUACUGUUCUCCAUUCCUUAUAUAGGAAGAACAGAGUGUCAUUUAAAUAUUUUUAAUUUUUUGGGCAUGUAGCUGGCCAUUUAAGUUCUCGAGGAAAAAAUGGAUUCUAAACACAUGCCUCCCACUGUUCUCAGUUGUUUGAAUUGCUCAUCAAAACUCUAAAAAUUAAAGAAUUUUGAGGCAAGGUUAAAAAAUAGUAACUGCAGGCAAGAAUUUGCUUUUCCUAUCAGUAUUUUUGCAAAGAGAAUUGCCUAGCUUCCCAGCAAUACACGAUAUGUUCAGUUCUGAACAUGGACUUAUUAAUGAAAGCACAUUUUGUGGUUUCUUUUAUUGCAUUUAAAAAAAUUUUUGAUAUGUCUGCCUAUGACUGUUUUAUCCUGAAAUUUUAAAUUGUUAAUUAAUACUGUAAAUAAUUUAUGCUAAUGUUAAUUGACUUAAAUAGUCCUCAAAAUGCCUAUAAUCCAAGAGAAAUAUUUUGGUGGGCAGUGUGAUAGAGGAUUAGCAGUUAGGAUGAUGAAGAACGUAUAUUAUCCAAAAUCAUUAUUGUAGCUAAUAGUUUCAGUUUCCUCAUUAAGACUAUUUCCUUUUUCCAGCCUUAUUUUUUCUAAUACUAGAUGCUAAGCUUCCAACACAGAACAAAACUGACAAGCUUUAAUUUUUUUUUUAAUUUUUAAUUUUCUUUUUAGCAUUUUCUUUUAAAAAAAUCUCUCCUCCCUUACUCCAGCCAUACCUAAUGGUUAAGAAGCAGGAAAAUGAGAAGCAGCAUAAAGGAAAUGGAGAUAAACUGUGAGUAACCCAUGGGUAGCUCAUGAGUAGAAUAGGAUGUUUAUUGUAGUCUGGUAGAAAGAUGAAUGAAAUCAAGAGAUGAGUUCUAAUCCUGGCUCUGCCAAUAAUUCACUGAAUGACCUUGAAGCAUGCCAUGGAAAUUUCUUUCAGCCUCAAUUUCCUCAUCUGUAAAAUAUCAGGACUGGACUUGUUUUGUGAAGUUGAUAGUGUUGAUAUGUAUCAGUGUAAAUGUUAUGAAGAAAUUUGGCAUUUCUUUCUUAACUAGAUUAUUUGAGUGUCUUCAUCACUUUUUGAAAGAGAAAAUCAUUCUGGUAGCAAAUAGCUGUGGGUAUUUCCAGUGAACAGCUCAUUUUGUUAUUCUCCAGUGCUAUAUAAGUGUAAAUUAUAAUGUAGGAUUAAAGUCACAAUGAAAGAGUUGUCAGAUAAGGAAAUUCCUUUGUCAAAAACCAACCACAUAUUGUUAGUGUUAUAUUAAUAGGCACAGCUUUUGAAACUACCUUUGUACAGUUUCACAGAAUACUUAAUAAAUACUCAAUAAAUUACCUUUUAGUAAUGCAUAGUUUACUUGAGAAAAUAAUUUUGUAAAUGUGAUAGAGAUUAAUUCUUUUGACAAGGUUGGAUACCUUCUAUGAUAUAGGUCAGGUAAUUUGCAUAAAAGGCCAUUAGACAGAAUUUCUAGGAGAAUUAGGCCAUUAUUGCACCCCUCCAUUCCUCUUAAAAAGUUCAGGUUAUCCUCCAGGCAACUCAGAAUUGUCUUACCCUAAAUCAUGGUUUCUUUUCAGGAGUAAUAAUACUGUUACAUAUUUGGGUUUUAAGAUCAAGUUUAUUUGUUUAUUUAUUUUUGGCUUAUGCCAAAUCAACACAGGAUUGCUAGUGCAUUCUUUUCUAAAUUUCUAAAAAAAGUCUAUUUUCCUAUAUUAUAGUUAAUUCAAAUGCAUAGUACUUUCAGUACAUUUGGUGCUAUGUAUAUAGUAUACUUUCAGUAACUACAUAUAUAGCAAAGUCCAUAAAUACAUUAUAAACCAUUGAUCCUUAUUUAAUAUUUGUAUUUUUUAAAUGCCUGUUUUAUUGGGGAUCAUAUAUUAUCCUGUCUAUAUCACAGAGUUAUGGGGAUUAAAUCAGAUAGUGGGUUUUGAAAACAAAGCCCCUCUAUGAGUAUAAAGUAGGUUGUUGUGAGGAGACUCUGAAGUGUUAGAUAACUGUACUGUUUUUAAGGGAACUUUCAAUGACUAAAAGUUUUUGGGGGAAUGUGUGUUGUCUUAUUUUCUCAAGAGAUGUAGACUUUACACAUCAUUUACUUGUGCAUUAUUGUUGGAGAUUAAGAAUCACCAGUAAUGUAAAUUAUAAUUUUCCUGCUUUGCUGUAUUGGAAACUGAGGUGCAUAAAGGUUAAAUGAUUUUAGCACUAUUACAGGAUGAAUUAGCAGAAAGAUAUAUAUGUAUAAAGGGUUAAAAAAACUUUGACAAAUAGAAAUUUUAGCCUUAUAAGCAUGAUUUCAUUGGGAUUAUGUCUGGUUCAACAAUGUGCUAUAACGCUUUUUAGCUAAGAUCUCAGUAUAAGAUUAUAUAGGUUUUUUCAUUUGGAGUCAAAGUUGUGUACUCCAAAUGAGGGUGGCAAUAGUGGAAACAGAUAGUGGUAUCGUUGCUUUUAGCUUUCCAAUCCUGAGUUAGGUGAAUGAUAGAAAUUCUACAAGGAACUUUCUUUUCAAUCACUUUGUGUAUGUAUGAGUAUGCAUGUGUGCUAUAUUAUCAUUUAUGAUUUUGUGUUUCUUAAAUAAACUUGCAUCAUUUUUGAGCA